rnacentral:lncRNA from 1 species
AAGAGUCUAGGAUCCCAUCUUAUUCCAAUUUGUUUAUCCUAUCCUCUCCAAUAUGGCUAAGCCUUAAUUGCCACAUAUACUUCUGGUUAAUAUCAUCUCUGGAUUUCUUUUGACCUAUGAUAAAGACCAUCAAUUAAAAGACCGCAUGCAACCAAUUUAUUUUACAAAUAAAUGAAAUAAAAUUUUUUAUUAAAUUGAAAAUCAAAUCCAUCCUAUGCUAGUACAGAUAUGAAAAUCAAAUUCUAACUAACUAUAUAUUCAAAAUAAUAAUCUUUUAAAUAUAAUCUAAAUUUUGAGGAU